rnacentral:rRNA from 1 species
AGGGCGACAGGGGUAAAGGGAAUUCCCAGUGUAGCGGUGAAAUGCGUAGAGAUUGGGAAGAUCACCGGAGGCGAAAGCGCUCUACUGGGUCGCACCUGACCCUCAGGGACGAAAGCUAAGGUAGCGAAAGGGAUUAGAUACCCCUGUAGUCUUUGCCGUAAACGAUGGGUACUAGGCGUGGUUUGUAUCGACCCAAGCCGUGCCGAAGUUAACGCGUUAAGUAUCCCGCCUGGGGAGUACGCACGCAAGUGUGAAACUCAAAGGAAUUGACGGGGCCCCGCACAAGCGGUGGAGGAUGUGGUUUAAUUCGAUGCAACGCGAAGAACCUUACCAGGGCUUGACAUCCCGCGAAUCUUGCUAAAAGGUGAGAGUGCCUUCGGGAGCGCGGAGACAGGUGGUGCAUGGCUGUCGUCAGCUUGUGUCGUGAGAUGUUGGGUUAAGUCCCGCAAGGAGCGCAACCCUCGUCCUUAGUUGCCACCUUUAAGUUGGGCACUCUAGGGAGACUCCCGGUGACAAACCGGAGGAAGGGGAGGAUGACGUCAAGUCAGCAUCCCCCUUAUGCUGUGGGCGACACACCUCCUACAAUGGUCGGGACAAAGGGGGAGCUACUCUCGCGAGAGUAAGCGAAUCCCAGCAAACUCGCCUCUAGUUCAGAAGCAGGCUGCAACUCGCCUCAGAAGGAGGAAUCG